rnacentral:tRNA from 1 species
GCUCCCGUAGCUCAGUGGAUAGAGCAGCGGAUUUCUAAUCCGUUGGUCGCAAGUUCGAACCUUGCCGGGAGCG